rnacentral:lncRNA from 1 species
UCCCUAUCUCGCUAUGUCUCUUUCUCUCCCCUUUCCGCAUCCAUCGUCUACCAUAAUCACAACCACGACCUAGCUCUUUCAUCCAUCUCACUAGAUUGAACAUAAGCACAUAAUCAACCUAACAUGUGAGAUUUCAGUUAUUGCUUACAGCUAUAGCCAAUUUAGGGUGUGGACCAAUAGUAUUUAUAAGUGAUUUUUUCUUUUUGAUAACUCAGUAUCCAGCAGAAGGUGCAACUAAAGUGGGGGACCAAUCACAUUGUCUACUAGCGGAGCACAUAUUAAAACCGUGGCAAAGCUCUGUAUGGAUUGAUCCAACUCAAGAAUUUAUAGCACUUACAAGGUUUCGAACAUGAAACCUUGAAAAUUAGGGAGUGAACCUCCAAAUUUCAAGCCUACACCACUGGCCACUAGGCCAACUCCUGGGAGGUUAAUAGUACCUGUAAGUCAUGGCUCAAAUUUGUUUUUCAGCACUUCAUCGUAACACCCCCACCCACCCCCCGAAAAUAGUGAAUGUUAGAUCUUAUAAACAUUUCAGAAGGGAUAGAUUAUGCAAUUGCAAUUUUAAAUUGCAGGGUCCAUAAUUCUAAACCGAGGGCAAGCAAGAACUGUUUGAGUUUACCUGAUUUCAUAUCACUUGGAUAAAGAUAACAUCAUAACAUGAUCGGAUGAAAAGUUUGUAAGUACUAUUUUUGUAAUUUUUUUUAUUAAUUCCUCUAUGGGUUUAUCUCUAUACACCAAUUCUUUCAAAUACCUAAUUCUACUACAUAAACCGUUGUUGAGGUCCAAAAAACAUCACCAGAGCGACCUCCCUUUGUUAUUAACUGGCUCUUUUCAAAUUGGAAUGUGUUAUUAACUAGGUUUUCAAGUUCUGUGAAAGAUGGAGACAAUGGCAAUUUCAAAAUUCCGGAAAAACCAAGAACCAAUCAUAGUAAAACUCAAAGUUUGCCAUGAACAUGAAGCUUUUGCUCUUAAAUAUGUGAAAAUGACAUUAAUUUCUAUUUAUGUGUUCCAGAACUUUAUGAUAUGUUAAGGGUCAUAAAAAACCUCGCGGUUCUCGGUUCGGGCCCGAUCCAGCCCAUGGUUCAAAGAGCCCAAACUCGACCCAAGCCCAGGGUAGUAUGGGCUGGACCUGGGUCUAAUUUUAAAGCCCGUGGGUCGACCCAUGGUCCGACCCAUGAUCCAUCCCAAAGGCCUAUCCCCAAGCCUAGUGUGAGGCUCGUACUUGCUUUUUAUCAUUUUUGUUUACAUUAUACAAAUUUUUGUGUAGAGUAACUUGGCCUAGAAAUGGUUCAAGUUGAAGCAAUUUUCAUGGGCUUUUGAGAAAAUUUAAAUGAACUAUAGGGUUUUAGAAGGCCGGGUCCUAUCCUUGCCCAACUCCUUUUGGUCUCUCAUUCAAGGUUCAUUAUUUGGCAACCCACGAAGAAAAAAAAAUUUAAUAAAUAUUUUUAUAAUAAUAUAAUUAGUUUUUUGGGUAUAAUUAGUUUGUUGAUUAAUCACUUAUCAAAAACUCUAAAAAAAAAUUAGGACAACUAGAUUAGUAGAUUUUUUUUAAAAAAAAUUCUUCGCUAAAUCCUUAAUCCAAACACAGUCUUACAAAAAAUAGUAAAUUUGUCAUAAGAUAUUUUUAUGAGCCAUACGCAAUUUACUCUCGGAAAAUAGAUAGAUAAUGUGACUAUGAUUGAUAGAUAUAUAUAUGCCAACCUAAUUGGGAUAUAUUUAUUAUGCAGUGAUGCAGUUUCUCCCCAACUUCAAUUAUUUACAACAUUUUAUAUUUUAUAUGUAAAGAAUCAAUAUGUAUGAAUGAUUUCAUGUAAUUACGCAUUAUUUUUUUCAUCUUUAAUAUUUUUAAUCUUUUAAUUUCGAAUAAAAUAUAUUUACAAAAACAUUAUUUAAAGAUCCGUAGACCUAGGCCCGUGGACAGGGCAUCGGUCUCAUCUUUUUGGCCCAAGACCGUUCCGGCCCAGCUCAUUGACGACCCUUAUGACAUUUUUAUGCUGCCUUGAGGCAGAAUCUUUUGUAUGAAACAAGAAAAAGAAAAUCAAUCUGUACACAUAAAUGGCGAUUAAUGCUUUACUGAAUUUUGUUAGCUCAAGUAUGCCAAGUGUUUUCUAUCAUGAAUUUUCUAUCAUGAAUCAUAAUCCACCCAAUUGAAAAGUGAGAUUGUUG